rfam:Parastrongyloides trichosuri strain KNP genome assembly, scaffold: PTRK_scaffold0000001
CCAACCAUAGCUCAGUUGGUAGAGCGGAGGACUGUAGANUUAUAAAAUAGUUAUCCUUAGGUCACUGGUUCAAAUCCGGUUGGUUGGA